CAGAAAAGGGUGCAAUAUAUAUCUUUAAAAUCAUUAUUUCCCACAUCACAGUACGACUUGUCGUUGAUGAGACAAUUAGAUCAAAUAUUGAUUCUGGUUGAUAUAAAUUGUUUGUUUAUGUAAAAGACAAUGUAUAAUCGGAAAUGAAGAUCACGUUACUACUAAUAACCAUCAUUGGACAUGCUUUAUGUUCGUUUAAUUGUACGGACUUUGCACAUCGUUUUCGCUCAGACAGCUUCCCAGUACUCAUGAAAGAUUUUAUUGGAACUCACAGUAGAGGAAUGUUAGCCAUCAAAUGUGCAAUGAGAACUCUUCGAGAUGACAUACAGAAACAAAAUUUUGCAGACUAUCGAAGAACAAUUUUUUAACUGAACGACUUGUAAUGACAAAACAGUUAGCCUAUUUUAGAACUCAGUUUAUAUGACACGUUUUAGUUGUACGAUUUCAGUUAGUUAGUUGACUUAAUAAUAAUACUUUUACAACUAAAGUUGUAAUUCCGGUAGCAAAGUUGUCAUGCGAAAGGAUUCCUCUACUUUGUUUAGGACUUUUUUGUUUUUUACGGUUUAUUUAGCUUCUUAAAGUGUUAUGAGACAGGCAAUCUAUAGCAUACGUUUAUAUUACAGUACAAAUUAGAAUUUAGUAGGAUCCAGAAUCCUUCUAGUACAAACUGGAAUUCCAACAUCUACUAGACGUAGAAAUCGGAAUUCUGUUUUAUACUAAUUAGAAUCCUGUACAAAUAAGAAUUCUAAAUUGUACUGUAACAUCAAUCUGAAGACACUAACAGAAUCAAAUAUAAACAAUAUCAGGAAUACAUAUUGAAUGAUUAUGUCAUGUGCAAUUUGUCUUUCCACUUCUUUUUUUAUACUUUGAUAUUUAUGAUGUGUUGUUAUUGCUGUAUCUGGUAUUGUAUAAUAUGACUUUGAGAUGAAGAACAGUAAUAAAAGCGCUGUUCCUUUGAUUUUUGUUUGGUUUUUUUUGCUGUGCAUGUACUGAUUUUAUGUCAUGGAUGGAUACCCCAUAUCCUUUGUUUUUCUAUUACAGUUUUGGUUAUUGAACACUAUUUAUAUUAUAUACAAAUCCUUAUAAAGAUUAACAUAAGCAC